AACGUAGGAGACAAACGUUAUCCGGAGUUACUGGGCGUAAAGGGCGUGUAGGUGGUUUCGUAAGUCUGGCGUGAAAUUUCUCGGCUUAACCGAGGCAGGUCGUCGGAUACUGCGGGACUUGAGGACGGUAGAGGCGUGUGGAAUUCCGGGUGUAGUGGUGAAAUGCGUAGAGAUCCGGAGGAACACCAGUGGCGAAGGCGACACGCUGGGCCGUACCUGACACUGAGGAGCGAAAGCAUGGGGAGCGAACAGG
rnacentral:rRNA from 1 species